rnacentral:rRNA from 1 species
UGGGGAAUAUUGCACAAUGGGCGCAAGCCUGAUGCAGCCAUGCCGCGUGUAUGAAGAAGGCCUUCGGGUUGUAAAGUACUUUCAGCGGGGAGGAAGGGAGUAAAGUUCAUACCUUUGCUCAUUGACGUUACCCGCAGAAGAAGCACCGGCUAACUCCGUGCCAGCAGCCGCGGUAAUACGGAGGGUGCAAGCGUUAAUCGGAAUUACUGGGCGUAAAGCGCACGCAGGCGGUUUGUUAAGUCAGAUGUGAAAUCCCCGGGCUCAACCUGGGAACUGCAUCUGAUACUGGCAAGCUUGAGUCUCGUAGAGGGGGGUAGAAUUCCAGGUGUAGCGGUGAAAUGCGUAGAGAUCUGGAGGAAUACCGGUGGCGAAGGCGGCCCCCUGGACGAAGACUGACGCUCAGGUGCGAAAGCGUGGGGAGCAAACAGG